GCUGGAAUCGCUAGUAAUCGCGGAUCAGAAUGCCGCGGUGAAUACGUUCCCGGGUCUUGUACACACCGCCCGUCACACCAUGGGAGUCGGAAAUGCCCGAAGUCUGUGACCCAACCUACGGGAGGGAGCAGCCGAAGGCAGGUCGGAUGACUGGGGUGAAGUCGUAACAAGGUAGC
rnacentral:rRNA from 1 species